rnacentral:misc_RNA from 1 species
UCCGAGUUGACCCCGGCAGUCUUCGAUGAGUCCCCGCCAUGACGCGCUGGCAACAUCGAACGAGGGUUGCGCUCGUUGAUGGACUUAACCAAACAUCUCACGACACGAGCUGACGACGGCCAUGCAACACCUGUCACUUGGUUCCAAAGGCACUCUCUCCUUUCGGAGAAAUUCCAAGGAUGUCAAGCCUGGGUAAGGUUCUUCGCUUACCAUCGAAUUAAACAACACGCUCCACCGCUUGUGCGGGUCCCCGUCAAUUCCUUUAUGUUUUAGUCUUGCGACCGUACUCCACAGGCGGGAUGCUUAACGCGUUAGCUUCGCUACAAGGAGGGUCGAUACUCCUUACAGCUAGCAUCCAUAGUUUACGGCGUGGACUAC